UACGUAGGGUCCGAGCGUUGUCCGGAAUUAUUGGGCGUAAAGGGCUCGUAGGCGGUCCGUCACGUCGGGAGUGAAAACUCAGGGCUCAACCCUGAGCGUGCUUCCGAUACGGGCGGACUAGAGGUAUGCAGGGGAGAACGGAAUUCCUGGUGUAGCGGUGGAAUGCGCAGAUAUCAGGAGGAACACCGGUGGCGAAGGCGGCUCUCUGGUCCACAACUGACGCUGAGGUGCGAAAGCUAGGGGAGCAAACGGG
rnacentral:rRNA from 1 species